GUGCAGCAGCCGCGGUAAUACGGGGGGUGCAUGAGUUACUCGGAAUCACUGGGCGUAAAGAGCAUGUAGGCUGGUUUGUAAUUUGGAAGUGAAAUCCUGUGGCUUAACCAUAGAACUGCUUCCAAAACUGCAGACCUAGAAUAUGGGAGAGGUAGAUGGAAUUUCUGGUGUAGGGGUAAAAUCCGUAGAGAUCAGAAGGAAUACCGAUUGCGAAGGCGAUCUACUGGAACAUUAUUGACGCUGAGAUGCGAAAGCGUGGGGGGCAAAUGGGAUUAGAUA
rnacentral:rRNA from 1 species